rnacentral:rRNA from 1 species
AGGACGAACGCUGGCGGCGUGCUUAACACAUGCAAGUCGAGCGGAAAGGCCCUUCGGGGUACUCGAGCGGCGAACGGGUGAGUAACACGUGAGUAAUCUGCCCCUAGCUCUGGGAUAGCUCCGGGAAACCGGGAUUAAUACCGGAUACGACCACCUUAGACAUCUUUUGUGGUGGAAAGAAUUUCGGCUAGGGAUGAGCUCGCGGCCUAUCAGCUUGUUGGUGGGGUAACGGCCUACCAAGGCGACGACGGGUAGCCGGCCUGAGAGGGCGACCGGCCACACUGGGACUGAGACACGGCCCAGACUCCUACGGGAGGCAGCAGUGGGAUAUUGCGCAAUGGGCGAAAGCCUGACGCAGCGACGCCGCGUGGGGGAUGAAGGCCUUCGGGUUGUAACCCCUUUCAGCAGGGACGAAGCGAAGUGACGGUACCUGCAGAAGAAGCGCCGGCUAACUACGUGCCAGCAGCCGC